rnacentral:rRNA from 1 species
UGGGGAAUUUUGGACAAUGGGCGAAAGCCUGAUCCAGCAAUGCCGCGUGUGUGAAGAAGGCCUUCGGGUUGUAAAGCACUUUUGUCCGGAAAGAAAUCCUUGGCUCUAAUACAGUCGGGGGAUGACGGUACCGGAAGAAUAAGCACCGGCUAACUACGUGCCAGCAGCCGCGGUAAUACGUAGGGUGCAAGCGUUAACGGAAUUACUGGGCGUAAAGCGUGCGCAGGCGGUUUGCUAAGACCGAUGUGAAAUCCCCGGGGUCUCAACCUGGGAACUGCAUUGGUGACUGGCAGGCUAGAGUAUGGCAGAGGGGGGUAGAAUUCCACGUGUAGCAGUGAAAGUGCGUAGAGAUGUGGAGGAAUACCGAUGGCGAAGGCAGCCCCCUGGGCCAAUACUGACGCUCAUGCACGAAAGCGU